rnacentral:rRNA from 1 species
AUUGAACGCUGGCGGCAUGCCUUACACAUGCAAGUCGAACGGCAGCACGGGUGCUUGCACCUGGUGGCGAGUGGCGAACGGGUGAGUAAUACAUCGGAACGUACCUUAUCGUGGGGGAUAACGCAGCGAAAGCUGUGCUAAUACCGCAUACGCCCUGAGGGGGAAAGCGGGGGAUCGCAAGACCUCGCGCGAUUAGAGCGGCCGAUGCCUGAUUAGCUUGUUGGUGGGGUAAAAGCCCACCAAGGCGACGAUCAGUAGCUGGUCUGAGAGGACGGUCAGCCACACGGGGACUGGGACACGGCCCAGACUCCUACGGGAGGCAGCAGUGGGGAAUUUUGGACAAUGGGGGCAACCCUGAUCCAGCAAUGCCGCGUGAGUGAAGAAGGCCUUCGGGUUGUAAAGCUCUUUUGUCAGGGAAGAGACACCGGCUCUAACACAGUCUGGGAAUGACGGUACCUGAAGAAUAAGCACCGGCUAACUACGUGCCAGCCGCCGCCGUAA